rnacentral:rRNA from 1 species
UACGUAGGGUGCAAGCGUUGUCCGGAAUUAUUGGGCGUAAAGAGCUCGUAGGCGGUCUGUCGCGUUGUUCGUGAAAACUCACAGCUCAACUGUGGGCGUGCGGGCGAUACGGGCAGACUAGAGUACUGCAGGGGAGACUGGAAUUCCUGGUGUAGCGGUGGAAUGCGCAGAUAUCAGGAGGAACACCGGUGGCGAAGGCGGGUCUCUGGGCCAUUACUGACGCUGAGGAGCGAAAGCGUGGGGAGCGAACAGG